rnacentral:lncRNA from 1 species
AGAGAAUGAUAGAAGGCCUCUCCUCUGCCCCACCUCUUUCAUGCCUUUCAUGUAGGCAAAGUAGACAGGGAGGGUGUUUUCUCCCAAUCAAGCUAUAAUCAAACUGACUUAGAAGAAGCUAUUAAUGGUGAGUAUCUGGAUUGUUGCCAAAACAAGUAUCUAUUGUACUUUGUGAGGACUUCACCUCCUGUCCAGGAGGCCUGAUUUUAUCGGGCAGUCUGGGAAAUCCCUUGGAGAGCUGGUCUGCUGCUUACAAUAGAAAAUUUCAUAACGCUUCCCCUUGAUGGUUUCCAGAGACCACACAUUACUCUGGGUAGUUCUAUAAACAUACGUUUUUAAAGAUGAUUUAAGCUGAGCAUUGGCAGGCCUGUUUGAAGGUUAUUUUAAUGGUAGUAGUAGAAUUGGAAGAUGUAUUAAUAACAAUCCCAGUGAAGCUGAUGCUGAUGGGAAUGAUUUAAACAUUUAAAUUGUUUAGGUUGUAAGAAAAUGUGUAUUUUAAAAAAUGUGUGAAUUUGGUUGAUUUCACUCUGUAGUCACCCUCUGGCUCAGUCUAAUAGGGCAACCUGACCUCACAGCUUCACUCCAUCGAAAGUGAUUCUGACCCUGAUGAAAAUGAGGUUCUUGGAACAGGAUGAUCUGACGGGACAAGUUAGGCUUCUAUUCCCUGUGUUAUCUGGAAUCCCAUUGGUUGCUCAGAUACUUCACUGGCAUUAAGGGAAUUCACUUAAGCAAGCCAGCCUCUUACUGUUUUUUCUUCCCAAUCUCUUAGGGACCAGUUGGUGAUCAAGAGGGUGUGGCCAUAAACUUUUGCAUGAGAGCAGCUUCUCCAUUGGGUACUAUUUACUCCCUUGCUUGCGUCCACGUUGCUUAAUGGCAAAUAGCUACACUGAAAAGAAUCUUGCAGCAAAGGCAGGGGCGCACAAACUCCAAUUAGAAAUAUGAAAGAUUUUUAAAUGGGUAAAAAGGAUCACUGAGUGUCUUGUCUAGGGGUCAUGUCUAACUUUCAUUGUCUCUGAGCUAUUUUACAACUCUGUAAGUUAUGGAAAACUGAUCAUGCAAAAUAUUCUUAUCCAUAGAAAGGAAAGCAGUGAAUUGUGUCUGCUGAAAUGCAAUUGAUUAUUGCUCUGAGGAUAUUCAUCAGUUUUUCACCUAUUCAUUUCAGCAUUCCUGCAUAUAUAUGUGCUUCUUCUUGGAACCAGCUGUAACAUCUUACUGCUUCCUCAUUAGCUAGAGUCAAAUAAAUAAAACCUUAUUUAUAAAUAUAAAUAUAAAAUGAAUAAAUGAAUAACAUUUAUUCAUUUUAUAUUUGUCUGAGUGUCACAAUUUAAACUACCCAAAAAUAUUAGUGUUUAAAGUAUGUGUAAGCUGUGUCUCAUGCAAUACAGCUGCGGAAAUAUUUUUUAAUAUGGAUUGUGAUGAUUAUGAAGUAGGAAGUUGUAGCAAGUUCACCUCUAUAAACCACCUAAAAUGAUGGUAGAGAACACUCAGUAAAAUAACUGAAAUAUUUAAUAAAAAGGGUCUGUCAAGCCUUGGACUCCAACAUACAGAGAAAGUGGGUGAAGUAUUUGUGUCAGGGGAUCAAGAGGGUGGACCCCUCACUCUGGUGGGAGCUUCUGGUCAUCACUUCCAUGU